UUUUUGUUAUUAUUAUUAUUAUGGGAUCAGGGAUUUAAAUCUAUAGCACUGUACACCAGUUCAGGUUGUUAAAUUAGCGUUGAUAAAUUUGGCAUUUAGGCUGCUGUCCGUGGUGCUGAUCACAGGCUGGUUUGCAGUGUGGGAGUUGCAUGGUGCAAGAUUUUAGUAAUAUCAGCAUGAUAUCUCUGCUUUUAGCACACUUUGCCAGAUGUGUAACGUUAUUACAAAAAGUUGUAUAUAUAGGUAAAGCUUGACUCAUGCAGAACUGUGUCAAUACUUGAACAUUUUCUGCAUACAUGUGGAUCACCUUACACCCGCUUUUUAUUUACUUUUCUCUGAAAACUUUAUGAAUUGAUAAAGUUGUCACAGAGAGAGAGAGAGAGAGAGAGAGA